rnacentral:precursor_RNA from 1 species
AGUGACAACCCAACAACAACUGUUCACAAUGGGGACCUAAAUAGAAAUAAUAAUAAUUGUUAAUUAUAAUGGUAAUUAAGGAAUAUUAAAAUCUCAAAGCUGUAUCUGUUGAGGGGGUACGGAUUUGGUAGGGUUAGUUAACUUCUGAAGUUCCGGUUUUGACCCUGGUACGGGGUUAGCAGUCAGAGCUUGCCACGUCAUGCUACGUUAGAGAAUGAUUAAGUUAAUUAAUCCGUGCAAGGCGCAUAGUGAUUGGUGCGGUCGCACAUCCGAGUCUGUCUCCCCUGGUGACGCAGUCCCAUCAGCCCCAAUUUCCGAGCAGACGCCAUAAAGGACAAGCGGGCGCAAUUGGGCUGACCCCAUCAUUAUUUCGAUCCGAGGGCAGGGAAUGGUCUGUCACCGGAGUCUAAUCAACGACGGUGAGUCCAUCACAAGUCACCGACCCAUGAUUAACAACACGUACCCUGGGAGAUAUCUGAGCCACCCAAUCACAUCCGUAUACGUCGCACUCUUCUUGCUCUCUCUGUGCGUCUCUUUUUAUUUUCUCCUCGAAAAAGCCUUCGUGUACUCUUUUGUCUUCCCCAAAAAAACACCCAACGAACCCCUCACACGCGCGCGAUUUACACACGUACCGAAUCAUGAUGAGAAUUCAUUCAUUAGAGACUUUAAAGAGUCAAGAGGACUCCCUUCUAAUUUCUAUCCAACCAUUAAUAAUGCUCUCCCAGCGCUCUCUCUCUCUCUCUCUCUCUCUGUAACAACUUUCCUUUCUUUUUUUGAGAAGUCACUUCCUUCCUUUCCUUAUUUGGUCGUUUUUGGUGCAAUUUCUUGGGUGGCCGUCGGCACUGUUUGAUUUGUUCUGAGAGAAGUCAGGCUCGGGCGGGGUGUCUCCGACACCUGUACGUCAUGCAUGAGAGAGAGGAGCAGAGAAUACAAGGGAGGCAGGAGUGAAUGAAGAGAGAGAGAGAGAGAGAGAGGGGAGUUUGUUUGUUUGUUUUUGUUUGUUUCGUUUUCUUUUUUCAUGGGUUUGUGGAUUUUUUUCUGGGUCUGAAAAAACCCUAAAUCCUCAUUGAAAGUUUCCCAGUUUUAGACCAAAAGAGAAUGGGAAUAUGGGAUUUGGGUUGCUUUCCCUGAAAUGGGUCUCAGAUCUGACUCUUUUUUUUUUAGAAAUUGACAGAAGAGAGUGAGCACACAGAGGCCAUAUGGUAUAAAGUCUAUACUAAUGCUUUUGGGUGCUCACUUCUCUUUCUGUCAGAUUCCAGUCCCGGAGGAGCCCUGCCAUUGUUCCAGAUCCUAUCUUUUUUCUUUUUUGAUGAAUAUUUUUCUCCUUCAACUUCAACAGCUGCUCAAGAAGAAGAUAACAGUGCAUCUAGAGUCUAUUGUUUGAAUUUUGACGAAUAAUUACACCUGUUAACUAAUUAUAUAUAAUUAUAU